rnacentral:rRNA from 1 species
UACAGAGGCCUCGAGCGUUAGGCGGAAUCACUGGGCUUAAAGCGUGUGUAGGCGGACUUCUAAGUACCUUGUGAAAUCCCACGGCUUACCCGUGGAACGGCUGGGUAUACUGGUUGUCUUGAGCCACUUAGGGGCUACCGGAACAAAUGGUGGAGCGGUGAAAUGCGUAGAUAUCGCUUGGAACGCCCAAAGGUGAAAACAGGUUGCUGGGAAUGUGCCGACGCUGAGACACGAAAGCCAGGGGAGCAAACGGGG